rnacentral:misc_RNA from 1 species
GGAAGUAAAAGUCGUAACAAGAUUUCCGUAGGUGAACCUGCGGAAGGAUCAUUCAUAAUAAAGUGUUUUAUGGCACUUUUUAAAAAUCCAUAUCCACCUUGUGUGCAAUGUUAGAUCUCGCCAAUCUUGGCGAGAUUUUUAUACAUCAACUCAUUCUUUAACUAAUUUGUCUGAAAAAUAUUAUGAAUACUUAAUUCAAAAUACAACUUUCAACAACGGAUCUCUUGGCUCUC